rnacentral:rRNA from 1 species
CCUACGGGAGGCAGCAGUGAGGAAUAUUGGUCAAUGGACGAGAGUCUGAACCAGCCAAGUAGCGUGAAGGAUGACUGCCCUAUGGGUUGUAAACUUCUUUUAUAAAGGAAUAAAACGAUGCACGUGUGGCUUUUUGCAUGUACUUUAUGAAUAAGGAUCGGCUAACUCCGUGCCAGCAGCCGCGGUAAUACGGAGGAUCCGAGCGUUAUCCGGAUUCAUUGGGUUUAAAGGGUGCGCAGGGGGGUGUUUAAGCCGGUGGUGAAAUCUUGGGGCGAAACCUCACAGAGCCGUCGGAACUGGGAGUCUUGAGUGCAGCAGAGGCAUGCGGAAUGCGCGGUGUAGCGGUGAAAUGCUUAGAUAUCGCGCAGAACCCCGAUUGCGAAGGCAGCGUGCUGUGCUGCCACUGACGCUGAGGCACGAAAGCGCGGGGAUCGAACAGGAUUAGAUACCCCAGUAGUC